GAGGAUUUGCUUUAUACUUUGAAGUUUUGAAAGGCAAGUCUAAGGAAAGUGGCUACCUAACAGGAUCAGGACUCAGCUUCUAUUAGUUGUCCCAGCAAUAGUGUGGCAACCUUUCAUGAUCGGGAAUCACAAGGAGUACAAUUGAAGCUGGCAAUGUGAGGGGCACAGCUAUACCUCCUUCGGGCACAGGGAACCUAAGCAAGCAUUGUUCUCUGUUUCAUCAUACAAAUGACGUCACAUGCAGACAGACACCAGGAUCUUCAGUGAGGAUAAGCCUUGAAGACCAAAGGACAAGCUGGCAUCCCUUCAGCUGUUGGACACCUCUGGUCAGCAAGCGCCUUCGGGUCUGAAGGAAUUAGCCUGUAGAGGGAGGCAUGAGCAGUUUGACAGCCUGACUCUUGAUCUUUGUGUUAUUAUUACUGGUAGUGAAAUUAUGAUAGGAUCUGGGAGCCUGAACCAUGGAUCAGGGAUUUUUGAAGGGAAACUCUCAGCCAUCCUGCUUUGGCUUGCACUACAAGGCAGUCUUAGGGCACAUGGAUGCUGGAUUCUUUUUCAGUAGCGGCUAAACUGGAAGGUGCGAAGAGUGGCCAGUCCCUGGGAGAGGGCUAGAGGCACCCUAGAAAAUAUUCCCCAAAAUAUGUGUGGUGUGAUGGUAGUCUGAAGCUUCAGCUGUGUUGCUCCAUGAAUCUACUUGUAUUGUACCUCACUGCUUGCAAGCACCGGCACUGCCAGACACUGCUCUGGCUUGUAGAUACAUGCCUCUCGUCAGCAGGAAUAUUGGCUGGUUAGCUGUUUCUUCCUGAGGUUAUUGAAAGGCCAUGGUUGUUGUGGAGCAGAUACAAAGCAUAGCCACUGCUUUAGGUGUUUUCAUGUAAGUUCUCAGUAGCAAAGUGAUGGUUGUUGGUGAUGGUUAUAUUGUCAUUUAAUUCUAACUACUUCUAAGAAGUUGAAGGGAUAAGGAACUCUAAAUGAAGUUACUGAAAAUUAGAGUUGUGAUGAAAAGGAAAUUGUCUGAAAUACUUCCCAUUACUAUGGCAUAUAUUUUUUGUUUAGGGUAUGUUAUUUGCUAGAAAAAACCAGGCUGUCAAUAGAUCCAAGCAGGAAAGUUAACACACAUAACCUUACACAAAGCAUCAGGAAGCUAGUUACAAGGUAAGCGUAAAUGCUUAGCUUUCUUCAAUCAAAAAGCAGUUUAUCCACAGUAACAGUAGGAUCACAAAGAAUGGACUUACAGAUUAGAAAAAGAUGGAGUCCCUGUUUGCCAGAGACUGUGCUGGGAGUCAGGAAGAGCUGAGAGGAGAGCAGCUGAGAGGAGGGCAACGGGGCAAUCUGCUGCUUCUGCAUAUGGAGUCACGGCUUAAAGAAAGUGUACUAAAACUUGCAAAAAGGAGCACCUGUGUUUGGUGAACCUGCGGUAUUGCUUUCUCUCCUGUAAGAUGUGUAACUCUCUGGUAAGGAAGUCAAUAGCGCUUUGAUGUGAAAAGGUUGUUUUUGAGGAAAUCUACCUCUCCAAUGACAGCUUCAGAGACUAAAGGGACUCGUAGGUAGGAAGCUGAUUUAAGCUUGGCUUCUUAUGGUUGAUAAACAAGGGACAUGCCACCUAGCGAAGAGCGGGAGAGUGUUCUGGUUAGGGUAACCUGCAGGAAAUCGAACUCACAUCCUGACAAGAGGGGGUUCAAGGAAAGCCUGACUGAACUACAGCUUGUGCCUAGCUAGGGGGGAAACACAGCUUUUUUGACCAAAGUAGUGCAACUUCUGGAAGUACUCCUGAAAGCAGUACUGCGCUGGGACCCUUUCUCUGGGAAGAAAUGCUGUUAGCCUCCUUUGCAGGCUGAGGUGGUGAAAUGUGGCUCAGGAAGAGCGCUUUGCUGGAGGCUUUGGUGCUCACUGAAGACCUCUUCACUGCACACUAGUUGCCAGGACAUCCCACAUUCCCCUUUAAAGCUCCCCAGGCAUUAAUGUAUGUGAGGGCUACCCAGGCUUUGGUCAUCUUGAUUCGGGCACUUCUGUCAUUAUCUUCCUCCUACAUAUGUAGUGUUUUAACUCUUCUCCACAUCCCUUAGUAGCAUGAAGAAAACUCAAAGCUGAAAAUAGUUUUUGAAACGACUGAUGUUAGACCUGCAAAA